rfam:Schistosoma mansoni, Puerto Rico, WGS project CABG01000000 data, contig: 0717
ACCCAGCUGACUAGUCCCAAAUAGGACGAAACGCGCGUCCAACUGGAU